rnacentral:rRNA from 1 species
GGGUCAGUAGGUUGGUCGUGCCACCGGUACGUACUGGUCUCACUGAUUCCUCCUUCCUGAAGAACCGUAAUGCCAUUAAUUUGGUGUUGCGGGGAAACAGGACUGUUGCUUUGAAAAAAUUAGAGUGUUUAAAGCAAGCUAACGCUUGAAUACAUUAGCAUGGAAUAAUGAAAUAGGACGAUCGAUCCUAUUUUGUUGGUUUCCAGGAUUGACGUA